UGGGGAAUAUUGCGCAAUGGGGGCAACCCUGACGCAGCAACGCCGCGUGAUUGAUGAAGGUCUUCGGAUUGUAAAAAUCUUUAAUCAGGGACGAAGAAAAUGACGGUACCUGAAGAAUAAGCUCCGGCUAACUACGUGCCAGCAGCCGCGGUAAUACGUAGGGAGCAAGCGUUAUCCGGAUUUACUGGGUGUAAAGGGCGUGUAGGCGGGCUUGCAAGUUGGAAGUGAAAUCUCGGGGCUUAACCCCGAAACUGCUUUCAAAACUGCGAGUCUUGAGUGAUGGAGAGGCAGGCGGAAUUCCCAGUGUAGCGGUGAAAUGCGUAGAUAUUGGGAGGAACACCAGUGGCGAAGGCGGCCUGCUGGACAUUAACUGACGCUGAGGCGCGAAAGCGUGGGGAGCAAACAGG
rnacentral:rRNA from 1 species